UCCCAGUGAAGCAGUACCUUGUGUUGAACAUAGGCUUUGAUGUCUCAAAGCUGUGAAGAUUGCUUGAAGACUUUGUUGUUGCUUGUGUGUGUGGGUUUUGGGUAGUUUGAAUUUGUAAUUCACUCAUAGAUUUGAUCCAAGGUUGUUUGAUUUUAAUCUUUUUGAAACAUAUGUGUUUUCAAAGAGAAGUGGAAAAUCAACCUGUUGAAUUGUCGUUUCAACCAGUUGUUUUACACUCAGAGGUUUUUGAAAAGGAUUUGAAAAGGCUUGACGUUGGUUGAAUUUUUUGUCAAACCAAUUCAAUCGGUUGUUUUGAAAAUUCAACCGAUUGAUUUUUGAAUUUCUUAACAAAAUUUUGUUAAGUUAGUUGAAUAUGUUUUAAUUGUUUUAAAAUUGAUUUGACUCUUGCAUUAAACAGUUAGGAGUAUAUAAAAUCUGUUUUACGCUCCUGGUUGUUAUUGAUUCAGAUUAUUGCUUUCAAAUCCAGUUUUUCCAAGAUUGCUUCAAGCUUUGGAUUCUUUCUAAGAGUGGAUUAGGAUUGCACUGUAUUUCUUCUUUCAAUAUGUGAUUGUAUCAGGUGUUAUCAUUCUUUUUCUCUCUUAACAAUUGUUUUUCCGUAAGAACUAUUGGUGUCCAGAUUCAGAAGGUGUUUUCGGAAUUCUAUGGUGUGAUUGCCAAAGGUGGUGUGGGUUCUUAAAGGGUUCAAGAUCACCACUCUGGUGUGUGUUGUAAUCAAGGUGUUUAGGACCUACAAAUCUAACACCUUGAAGCAACAAUUAUAGACAAAGCAAAAGAGGAGUUUACCCAUUUAAUCCGUUCAGGCAAGAACAAUUUCAAUAUGCACACCAAGUAUUUGAUUAUCUAAAAAUCAUAUUGGAAUUACCUAAUUAUUGCUUAAGUAACUAAUACGAUUUUAC
rnacentral:lncRNA from 1 species